GAGUUUAAUCCCCAUUGCCCCUUGGAAAAAUAAUCACAAUUCUUUUAAAACUCUUUGCCAAUAGUUCUGUUGACUGCAGUAAUGUAUACUGACCACAGCAAUUGAUAAAGAAAUAAAGGCUUCUGUCAGACCUCAGGAUGGAGGGAAGCCAAAGGGGCACCAACCAUCCGGAGAGAACUCACCAGCUCAAAAGUGAUUUUCAGGACAGCCAAGAGCCCAGAUGAUUUCUUUUCUUUUCCUUUCCUUCCCCCAAUCCUGUUUCUUCCCCGCCACCCACCCCUUCUCUCUCAUUCUUUCACUGUUUCAAAAUUCAUAUCAAUAAAACUAAGUUCCUCAAGUGUCCCUUCUGAGAAAUCUAUUGCUUUUGAAGCUUACUCUGAUCUUCUGUCUGCUUGUGCCAUUGUUGGAAGAGACCUUAGUUUUCAUUCUUUUCUCUUCUGUGGUUCCUCCCAUCUCCCUAAAUGUUUUAGCAUCUGUUAAUCCCAGUUGGAAACCUCAGCAGAUAAAGUCUUGUUCCAUGUAGAUUGCUUCAAGAACAAAUAGAGGGUUGCAGAUAAUUCAGCAUUUGGUUUCAGGAGGGUUUAGGGUUGGGGCUGCAGAGCUUCCUCCUAAGCAGCCAGUUAGAGCAAAAGCAGAGUAAUUCCCA
rnacentral:lncRNA from 1 species